UCGAUGCACGCGAGACUUACCUGGUCUUGACAUAAUAAAAACUUUCCAGAGAUGGAUUGGUGCCUUCGGGAACUUACAUACAGGUGCUGCAUGGCUGUCGUCAGCUCGUGUCGGGAGAUGUUGGGUUAAGUCCCGCAACGAGCGCAACCCUUUUCCUUAUUUGCCAGCGGGUUAAGCCGGGAACUUUAAGGAUACUGCCAGUGACAAACUGGAGGAAGGGGGGGACAACGUCAAGUCAUCAUGGCCCUUACAACCAGGGCUACACACGUGCUACAAGGGUCGGUACAAAGGGUUGCUACCUCGCGAGAGGAUGCUAAUCUCAAAAAGCCGAUCGUAGUCCGGAUUGGAGUCUGCAACUCCACUCCAUGAAGUCGGAAUCGCUAGUAAUCGCGGAUCAAAAUGCCGCGGUGAAUACUUUCCCGGCUUUUGCACACACCCCCCG
rnacentral:rRNA from 1 species